rnacentral:rRNA from 1 species
UACGGAGGGUGCAAGCGUUAUCCGGAUUCACUGGGUUUAAAGGGUGCGUAGGCGGCGUGCUAAGUACCUUGUGAAAUCCCACGGCUCAACCGUGGAACUGCUUGGUAUACUGGUUCUCUUGAGCCACCUAGGGGCAACCGGAACAAACGGUGGAGCGGUGAAAUGCGUAGAUAUCGUUUGGAACGCCAAUGGUGAAAACAGGUUGCUGGGGGUGUGCUGACGCUGAGACACGAAAGCCAGGGGAGCAAACGGG